UGGCUUAUGAUGAAAAAAUAAUUAUCUUAGCGGAUUUCAGUGAGGUUAUGAUUUUUAUCACCAUCAAUGAUCUGAUUGUUACACACACUGAAGCCU